rnacentral:lncRNA from 1 species
GUGUGCAAGGAAUUUAACAUUGAGUAUUUACAAUUUGUUAAGACUAGAAUUCAUCCAUUUCAUUCAUAUUUCUCAAUACAUCAAGAACCACAAUUCAUGCAUGGGUGAUCAAUCCAAAGCAAGCAUUAAGCAUAGAAAUUGAAUANUAACAUGAAUUGGAAAAACAUAUAGCAUUAGCAUCACAAAAUACAAAAGAAUUNCAUGUUUUACAACUAAUCUCAACAAGGAAAAGCCCUUCAUGGUGGAGAACUUAGGGUUCUACAAGAUUGAAGAGAUAGGGAAGAAAUUGGAACCAAAGAGAAGAUGGACAGUCUUUCCCAAGGUUCUUGGUAGCUACUCCAUGCUCCAUUGCGCCUCUCCUUCGCAUCUCUAUCUCCAAUUUGUGAC